AUUGAACGCUGGCGGCAUGCCUUACACAUGCAAGUCGAACGGUAACGCGGGGCAACCUGGCGACGAGUGGCGAACGGGUGAGUAAUGCGUCGGAACGUACCGAGUAAUGGGGGAUAACGCACCGAAAGGUGUGCUAAUACCGCAUACGCCCUGAGGGGGAAAGUGGGGGAUCGCAAGACCUCACGUUAUUCGAGCGGCCGACGUCUGAUUAGCUAGUUGGUGGGGUAAUGGCUCACCAAGGCGACGAUCAGUAGCGGGUCUGAGAGGAUGAUCCGCCACACUGGGACUGAGACACGGCCCAGACUCCUACGGGUGGCAG
rnacentral:rRNA from 1 species